AUGAAGAACCAAGGUUCAUCCCCUGCUGAGGACACCAGGAAGGAACAGGUCAGCGUGGCUGCAGGAGGACCUCCUCCUUUCCCAAGACCACCCUACAUGCCCUACCCCAUGGGGGGCUACAGAGAAUCCUUCAUGGGCUAUCCGCCACCUCCUCCACCCUGGUGGUUUCCAAGACCUCGGCCAGUACCUCUGUCUCCAGAAUUUGGAGAGCCAUUGUGGAAUUGGAAUAGGAAGCUCAGCUAUCCGGAACAGGCUGUGCCUGUGAGUCAAAAAGCCACCUGAUGCCCAUUUUCCAAAUGUUUUCCCUGUCCCACGAAGACUCUUCCUCUCUUAUCUGUCUGAGUGAUUCCCCUAAUAAACCUUGUGUGGUGCUGACUUUGCCUAAGUGU
rnacentral:lncRNA from 1 species